ACACUAUCAGCAGAGUUUACAUGAUUCAAGCUAUAUAUUUAGCUAUUAUAUUUCUUCUUCAUCUGUAUGAAUGUGACACAGGUUUGCACUGAUGUUACAUUGUUGAGUACAAGGAACACAGCUGCAAUGCAAUCAGAAUGAAGCUGUACAUCUGAAAUCCUGGAAAAGAAUUGGGAUGCGCACCACUAAUAAAUGCCAGCGGUCGCGACGUCACUCAGAAUGCUGACGCCGGAAUCCUGACAGCCGACAUCCUGUCUGGCACCAGGCAGAGGAUGAGGUUGUCAUGUGCUGACCAGAUGAGGAGAUCAGAAGAAUGUCAAAUUCAAAGGGAAAGGGGACAUACUAACUGGAGCCAGCUGUUCCCCAGCGCGGCUGAUGUAUUGCACAUGUGUCUGUGUGGGUUUGGGCUGUAGGACCAUCUCUUCUCCAGGGGCUGGGAGAUGGCCUGCUAUUCUAACACAGCUGCUCUUUAUUAUUAUUAUUAUAAUUCUGCUAGCCUCAGA